UUAUUUAAUAAAUCUCUAACUAAAAAUACAAAUGCGCGGCAAGUAAAAACUAUAGGAAGGACUUGAUUUAAAAGUAGGCCACAUAGUGUGCCAGAAUUAAAUCUUCCAAUAAAUUAUGGCCGUAGCUUUCCGCGGUUUCCCUACAUGAACCCCGAGACCGGAAGGCUAUACUCAUUGUUCCACUAGACAUUCUAUGGGAAGACGCGCAUAAAAACGUAGGCUAUUCAAGAGGUCGCAGAUUACAAAUACAAUAGACGGUACAGACCCAUCAAGGACUGGCUUUCAGCAUUCCAGACUUUCUUUUAUUACGGUAAUUUCUCUCAGUGGCAACAUCAUCAAAUUCAGACGUGUGAAUGGCUGUGUCCACGCCUAGAUGCUUACAAGGGGUACAGGGUAUGCAGCUCCAAUCAUUGAGUGAAUGGGUUUUGAAUCGUUUCAGUUGGCUUCCAUAAAUUGUUUCGUCCUAGCCCAUUUGCUUUGGCGAACAACUUGCGGUCAGUGCAGAAAACUUGAGAGAAGACAACCUUUCAAAGCUCCGGCAACUACACCAAAGAUGCACAGACAAAGUCCGGUAGGGCCAAGGGUAUUCCAUUAUGAAAUGCCGUAUGGUGCUAAUCGGGCAAGAGAGUUCAACGCACAUUUCUCAGCGGAUGAGUGGAGAUCUAGGGCUAUAGGGCGAAUGCCUUGGCCUCAGUCACCGCCCCAGUGGCAAUCUAGCCCUGUAGGCCGAAAUUGUGGCCCCAGCCCCGUCUUCUAUCGGGAGAGAAAUGAAGGCGUUUGGAAUCCCCGUCGCAGCCCACAGGGACCAGAUAUGCGCUGCUCGGAAUGGUCACCUCGCCUACAGAGAGGGUCCAACAGAUGGCAGAAGUCCCCAAUCUAUUCGCCGCAAUCAAGAAUGCACCAAUCUCCAUCACCAAGAUCUGUAAGGGGUCCAGCUAGACGACGGGAUUCGUCUGAGUCAGGGGUCUCCAAACUUUACAAGCCUUCCAUGCUGGAAGACCCAUGGGCCGAAUUGGAGCACAUAUACUCAAGGGACCGGUCACCACUGCACAGGGCGGAAGGGAGUCCAGCAAAUGAUCUGCGAGAACCUGAACCAAACUCCACAGCUGGACACACUAGUGGUGACGCAAGAUGAACCACAAGAAAAUCAGUUAUUUUGAGUAGUUUCAAAGCCGCUGUGGAUUUGAGUUCAAACCUGUUUAUGGGUGCCCUGAUCUUAUUCCUUUGAAUAUACCCCAUACAGCGACUGACAAAUUAUUACAAAAG